rnacentral:lncRNA from 1 species
CUGAACUCACAACCGUCUCUAAUUUACUCGCCCAGAUAACCCAAAGAUUCUAGGUAAGCAUGACAAGAACUUCAGAAGUAUCUCAAGUGCGCUCUGUCAAUGGCUCAUUCUCUAGGAACAAUAGAGCGCUCUGCCAAGGACGCAUUCACCUGAUUUAUGUUCCGAAAACUAUACCUCGCCUCAAGUGCGCUCUAUCAAUGGCGCAUUCUCUAGGGACAAUAGAGCGCUCUGCCAGUGACGCAUUCACCUGGUUAAUAAUCCCGAGCCUACGGCUAUAACACUCACCACUUGCAUGGAUCACUCGACACAUGCCCACGUCUACCCUGGCAAGUUGAUCACGCCAUCACAUAAUACAAUCAAUAUCAAAAUAUGACAACAGAGAACAUAUAGAUCAAACCAAGAACAUGUCAUAGCAUAAAAAUCACACACGCAUAGCAGAAUAUAGGAUUAGCAAAAUCAAAAGUGCAAACUUGCCUUGAAAGGUGCUGAAGUACUCUAACGCUUAAUUCUGAUCCGCUUCACACUCUGGACAAUCUAUAUGAUUAACGAAGGCACCGAUAAAUAAACCGUACUCACGUAACAAUCACAAUAAAGCCAACAAAAAAAAUCAAAUAAAACUUAAAUAAAAGAACAUAAAAAUAGGUAUAUAUUAUCUACAUGCUAGUAGAAUCAUAAUGCAAAAAGAAUCAACUAAUUAGGAUCAACGGUUUGAAGGAUACGGCCUCCGGAAGGUUAAAUUCAAAUUUGAGCAAAUUCAAAUUUAAACAGUUCAAAAAUAUGAAACUUUGGUUCUACUAUAUGCUCUUGGUCAAUAUGAGUACACAGGAAAAAGAAUCGAUGAAUUUGGAGUUAUGGAUUUCAAGAUAUACCUAAAUGGAAAUUUGAUAUGAAAUCUGUCCAAAAAGAAAUCUGUCAAAACAGUGUUCCUGGAAGAGCUACUGUGGCAGCUGUGGAUGUGCCACGUGUCGCGUUGUCAUUGGCUGUAAACCGUUUGCUGCGGGGCUUAAACGACGAACGGCCACAACUUAAGGAAUAACGGUUCGACAGAGAAAAAAACAAUGUAUGAUCUAAUCUGGGCCGUUUAAAGUAGAUCAGACGAUGCUAGGUGACUCACCGGAGAAGAACAGAGGCUGCCCGCCGGACUUGAGGAAGAACGGCGCGGAACGGCGCGGGCGGCGAUGGUGGCGCCUGCUCCGGUGGUCUCUAGACUCUGGCGGGUAGCGUACGGGGCAUGGAUCUCUGCUGCAGUCUCGACGACAUCCUCAGCAGCGUCGGUGGCGAGCGGGGAUGACGGUAGAGGGUGGCUGGAGCUCGGGCGGUGGGGUGUUCGUUGGGGCGAGCUUGAAGCACUCGGGUGGGUGCUUCCCUACGAGAACUAAUAGGUGAGGGAGAGAGACGAGACCAUGGUCAAGAUACUAGGGGCAGGAGGAGAAGUUCGGAACCUCCAGAGGCGAUGCAAUCGACCGGCAGAAGCUUCAGACGGCGGCGAACUCCGGCGAGAUCACGAAAUUGACCUAGGGCACGGGAGAGAGGGAUUUUGCCAAAAAUCGGCAGAGGAGAGUAAGGGGAUUAUUUAUACGGAGUCAAGACUGGGCGAGGGACAGUAGAUCGAUCCGAAAUGAUGGGGAUUUGGAUCGGGAGGAGUCUCCAGGAAGAACACGGGAAGGAGAGAGAUGACAUGUGGGUCAGGGUGGUCAGCGGCAGAGAAACAAAAAACGAACCGGCGGGGUGGCCGCUCACUGGGCUUUGGCCUGCUAGCUGCUGCUGCACUGCUCUAGUGCACGAGGCGAGGAAUAGGAAUGGGCUGCCCCUGUUCAGCCCGAUGAAUAGUAAAAUCUUGUUGGGCAAUUAUACUAAGCAGGAGGUCUAUUUGGCUAUAACAAAAUACAUAUAGAUUCCUAAAGUUACCAAAACGCACAGUACAAAAUUACUACUAAUAUCGACUAUUGUGAACAUUUUUAAAACACAUAUGCACUUUUGAAAAAUUAUAUUUUAUGCAAUGCUAGCACAUAAAGAAUAUGAUAACAACUAAAAUAAUAAUAAUUUUGAGAUACUACAAAGCCAAAAUAAUUUAGGUGGACACCAGAAGAUAUUCUUAGCAUUUUGCAAAUAUAAUUAAUAGGGGAGAAGUCGUAUUAUCUCCACUCCAAAUACUUUGCCUUGUUGGAAAACACUUUGAAUAUUCCGAAAACUCAAAUAUGCAUAGAAAUCAUGAUGAACAGAAUGAUCCUAUUAACAUUCCAAAUUUUAAAAAUUUGGGAUGUUACAAAUCUACCCCCCUUAAAAUGAAUCUCGUCCUCGAGAUUCGAGUUGCCUAGCAAAGGUUAAAGAUGGGUACUUGAUAUAAUCCAUACUCCAAAGUUUUGUCGCUUACUCAUUGCAUAUUUCCAAAUCUCCCUUGACACGACUAAAUAUGAUGCAUCAAUGCUGAAAGAACGGUCACAAUACUUGAUCUUAAUUAAGAAUCUUACCAAAGACUGGUGCAUUAUCUGGUCUUCCUACCCUCGUGUGAUUCACAUGUCCACUUUCGAAAUGAUCAAUCUCCUUCUCUCAGGAAUUCCCAUUGUCAUAAUUCAUGUUCUUUAGCUCAGGACAGUUUGUUCAAUAGUGUCAUGGGUUCCUGCAUCUAUAACCAAGUAACCGUCUUGGAUCCGUCUUUGUGGGCAUCGAAAGGUCGUGGUUGUUGUUGCCAUUCCUCUGACCAUUGUGGUUGUGUCCAUUGUCAUUGUGAUGAUUAUGCCCAUCGUGGUUACGACCAUUAUAAAUGUCCUCCCCAGAAUCAUAGUACUCAAAAGAUGAUGACGAAUUACGGUGCUUCCGUUGUCCUCCAGAAUUAAAUUCUAUGUCACUCGCCUUCCUCUUGCGGUUCUCCACCUCUUGAAACUUGCCUUCAAGUACAAUAGCCUUAUCAAUAAGCUCCUGACAGUUCUUGAAUGUUGCCACUGUCAACUCAAUACUCAACUGAUCAUCCAGACCUUCAAGAAACUUCUCCUGUCUAGCUGCAUCAGUGUUAACAUCAUUAGGGGCAUAGCGCGCAAGAUUAUUGAAUUCCUCCACAUAUGCAUUCACAGUGCGACCUCCCUGACGCAAGCUGCGAAACUCCUUCUUCUUCAGACUCAUGGAACCAGCAGACACAUGUGCAGCGCGAAAACCUGCCUGAAACUAUGCCCAAGUAAUAGUAUCAAUAGGAUACGUGACCAAGUAAUUGUCCCACCAUGCUGUGGCUGGUCCUUCUAACAAAUGCGAGGCAAACCGCACUCUCUCUACAUCAGUGCAACCAACUGUCUCCAAAUUCCUAUUAACCGAGCGAAGCCAAUCAUCAGCCACAAUAGUAUCAGGGGUGCUAGAAAACCACUGAGGAUUCAACCUCAAGAAACGAGUAAGGGCAUCAACUUGGAGUGGUGGUGGAUUAUUGUUGUUGUUGUUCUGGUUCUGAAUAAGUAACUGGAUCAACUGAGUCUGUCCCUAAAGCAACUGCUGCAUGUAUGGCGGUAUGUCAUUGUUGUUGUUGUUGUUGUCUCUUGAACCACUGCCUCUAGAGUUACGCCUCGGCGGCAUCUGAUGGGUAAGCAGGGAUGAGAUAUAGACAGAAAUAGAUCUAAGGGGAAAAACACUACCCAUAUGCUCAUGCUAGCAACUAAAACUCCAACAACAACAAAAACAAACACUAAAUUCAGACAAUUCACACAAGUCACCAAAACUAUCCUAAAGUAAUCACAUGAAAAGAGCACAUAUAUUGUCAAUCAAAGCACCCAAUUGCAUAAUACAAACAACCACAAAAUAUGACAACACGGGAAAGCAAUGACCAACCAAACAUAUAACAUAUCACACAACACAAGCAAAACCUACAUGUAAGGUCAUAUCCAAAAGAGAUAUGAUCUCAUCAUACUACCGCAAAUCGUUUAUCGAACACAACUUAGGAAUGGUGGUCUGCCAACUAAACUCCAUAAAUAACACUAAUAUAAUUCAAAGGGUCAACUAUAUUUGAAAAGUAAAGAUAUGAGUACAAGAGUAUGAACUAACAAGUAGACAACAAGUUGUAAAGUAAGUUUUUAACUCCUAUGGCUUUUCUAAUCCAUUUUCUAGGGUCACGACCUACAAACAACACACUGCCCUGAUACCAUUUGUAACGACCCGAAUCUGAUAAGAUUCGAUGUCUCUGUGCUCACUGUGCUAGUCCCUGCAUCGACUCGCUAGCACACACAGUACAUAUGAAUAUCAAAUAACAAGUGCAUCAUUUACUACAACGUAUGAUCCAGAAUUUAUAAAGUAUUACAAACUGAGUAGCACAUAGUAACUUAUACUCAAUGAUAACAGCAAAAAUGUAGCAUAACCAAAUGAUGAAUCCCAUCAAUGCCCACUGGAGAAAAUCCUGAGUGAAGACUCGCGUCCCUACUGUAUCUCAUUGAUCAUCUGAAAAUCUCGCAACAUGAUAAGUUGCAGCCACAAGGGUCAAUACAUUGAAUGUAUUGGCAAAUCACACAUAAUGAUAUAGCAAACCUACAUCCACAAAGCAAUGUAUGACAAACAAAACACACAAAUUAGUUUGGAGAAGAAUGUCUUCACCUACCUCCACUACCUGAACUCACAACCGUCUCUAAUUUACUCACCCAGAUAACCCAAAGAUUCUAAGUAAGCAUGACAAGAACUUCAGAAGUAUCUCAAGUGCGCUCUGUCAAUGGCGCAUUCUCUAGGAACAAUAGAGCGCUCUGCCAAGGACGCAUUCACCUGAUUUAUGUUCCGAAAACUAUACCUCGCCUCAAGUGCGCUCUGUCAAUGGCGCAUUCUCUAGGGACAGUAGAGCGCUCUGCCAGUGAUGCAUUCACCUGGUUAAUAAUCCCGAGCCUACGGCUAUAACACUCACCACUUGCAUGGAUCACUCGACACAUGCCCA